AUGAGAAUGAGAGUUGGCAGCUGUGGCCAUGUGCAUGUGAACUCACAGCUGCUGAGACUGAAACCUUCCCUUGGCCAACGAUGCCUGAAGUGGGAACAUGUGCAGCUUGAUAAUUAAAGCUUUAGAAAAUCUGGUCAUUCUAUUGCAUCCCAGCCCCUGACAUACAGAAAGAGAUGGAAGAUGGCAGCCCUGAAAUGCCUUCGUGGUCAUCCUGCAUGCCCUUGUACAAGUCUACUGCCUGUCUAUCCAGAUGUUUCCUCAUUCUGACAGGAUGCUAAAAUAGCCUCUGUCAGUUUCAACAUCAGUCAUUCUGAGAUCUGUGCCAAUUCAUAGCCCUGGCUCAAGAUAGAAUAUAAAUCACAUAAAACCUUCUAAUGUCUUUAACAUAAAAGCAAUUGCCCAACAGUAGUGACGCACACCUUUAGUCCCAGCAAUCAGGAAGCAGAGGCAGCUAGAUAUGAGUU